AAAAGAGUACAUGCCGCCAUCUGCGAAGACGCUUACUGCACUAGUUGACGUUGAUUUGAACGUGCACGCAAGAGUAGUCUGGUGAAUGUUUGAAUUUCUAGAGCUUUGUUUUUUGAAAUUGGAAGAAUGGUUGUUUGAUUUUAGGCAUCGACCAUGGAGGGCCCAGCAAUUCUUCACUGAAUCUGUAUAUGUUGGACACAAAUAUUUUUAAAGCUGCCAGUGGUAUUUAGAUAUCACAACAUUUGGAUGGCUCUGGUAUUCCAUAAAGUGAGGCUUUUGAGUAAGUAAAUAAUUUAUUUUCAUAAAAAGAGUUCUUUGGUUUAGAUUGCAACUUAGUGAGGUAUUGGCAAACUAGCCAUUCACAUCUGCAAUGUAUAAGAGUUAUCCCUGUAUCUAGCUACAUAUGAGUGGGGGGAGUGGAGUUUGGUGCCAGUAGAAUUGAAUGAAGGAUUGAAUUUUGGAUUAUAUCCAAUUUUCUUGUUAGUGGAGAUCUGCUCUGAAAGACAAUCAGGUUUCAGGUUCAAAUUCUCUCUGACCAGGAUUGUGAAUAUGUUGGCUCCUCAAGAGACUUUAUCCACUAGCUCUAGCAGAUGAGGUUGGUAAGAAGAGUUAUGAAUAUGUCAAUGAAAAUGUGCUGUUAAGUAAUGGAUAAAUCACAAUCUAGUUUGAUUUCAUUAUCAGAUUAGAUCUGAAAAUAAUUGUACAUGUUCAUGGUAAAGAAUUGGUAUUACUUUGUCAACUAUUUUAAACAUUAUAGAAGGUCAUGCAUUAGACUUCCAGAGUUGGUUAAGUGGACAUGGUGCUGGAUAUGAGAAGGAACCUCUAUCGUAACAUUGCAUUCACACUACCUGGGAUGCUGAAAAUUUUUGGGGUAAUUGGCGUUCCGUACAAGUGAACCAUCAGUCUACUACGAACGCCGGUUGACCAACUUUUAUACAGACAACUGUUAGCUGUUAACCGUUUAUUAGAUUACUUGCAUUGCCAUCAAACGGCAACUGUUGAAAAUCGAACGAGAGAUUUAAAUAAACUUCACCCACAACGAA